rnacentral:piRNA from 1 species
UAUUUGGUGUUCGGGAAGAAAGGGUC